rnacentral:tRNA from 1 species
GCCGCCUUAGUUUAGUGGUAGAACAGAUCCAUGGUAAGGACCCGGUCCCAGUUCGAUUCUGGGAGGCGGCACCA